rnacentral:sRNA from 1 species
AUUCUGCCCAUGCGGGGAAGGAUGAGAAGCUUCGACCAAGGUUCGACUUGAGCGCCAGCGAGAGAGCGUUGCCGCAGGCAACGACCCGAAGGGCGAAGCGCGCAGCGCUGAGUAAUCCUUCCCCCAC